CGCAACGAGCGCAACCCUUGUCUUCUGUUGCCAUCAGGUUAUGCUGGGCACUCUGAAGAGACUGCCGGUGAUAAACCGGAGGAAGGUGGGGAUGACGUCAAGUCAGCAUGGCCUUUAUGUCUGGGGCUACACACGUGCUACAAUGGCAGAUACAAACCGUCGCGAGACCGCAAGGUGGAGCUAAUCGGAUAAAGUCUGUCUCAGUUCGGAUUGCAGGCUCCAAACGCGGAAUGCAUGAAGUUGGAAUCGCUAGUAAUCGCGGAUCAGCACGCCGCGGUGAAUACGUUCCCGG
rnacentral:rRNA from 1 species